rnacentral:tRNA from 2 species
GGCUUGGUGGCCUAAUGGUAAGGCGUUGCUUUCCGGUCAUGUGAUUUGGCAAAGAUUGCGGGUUCGAGUCCCGUCCGAGUCG